rnacentral:rRNA from 1 species
AUACGGAGGAUCCGAGCGUUAUCCGGAUUUAUUGGGUUUAAAGGGUGCGUAGGCGGCCUUUUAAGUCAGCGGUGAAAGUCUGUGGCUCAACCAUAGAAUUGCCGUUGAAACUGGGAGGCUUGAGUAUGUUUGAGGCAGGCGGAAUGCGGGGUGUAGCGGUGAAAUGCUUAGAUAUUACGCAGAACCCGGAUUGCGAAGGCAGCCUGCCAAGCCAUGACUGACGCUGAUGCACGAAAGCGUGGGGAUCAAACAGGAUUAGAUACCCUGGUAGUCCACGCAGUAAACGAUGAUCACUAGCUGUUUGCGAUACACUGUAAGCGGCACAGCGAAAGCGUUAAGUGAUCCACCUGGGGAGUACGCCGGCAACGGUGAAACUCAAAGGAAUCGACGGGG